rnacentral:tRNA from 2 species
GGAGAGGUGGCAGAGCGGUCGAAUGCGGCGGUCUUGAAAACCGUUGAAGGGCAACCUUCCGGGGGUUCGAAUCCCUCCCUCUCCGCCA